GCCUAAAGCGUCCGUAGCCGGCUCUGUUAGUUUUCGGUUAAAUCCAUAUGCUCAACAUAUGGGCCGCCGGGAAUACUGCAAAGCUAGGGAGUGGGAGAGGUAGACGGUACUCCGUAGGAAGGGGUAAAAUCCUUUGAUCUAUGGAUGACCACCUGUGGCGAAGGCGGUCUACCAGAACACGUUCGACGGUGAGGGAUGAAAGCUGGGGGAGCAAACCGGAUUAGAUACCCGGGUAGUCCCAGCUGUAAACUAUGCAAACUCAGUGAUGCAUUGGCUUGUGGCCAGUGCAGUGCCGCAGGGAAGCCGUUAAGUUUGCCGCCUGGGAAGUACGUACGCAAGUAUGAAACUUAAAGGAAUUGGCGGGGGAGCACCACAAGGGGUGAAGCCUGCGGUUCAAUUGGAGUCAACGCCAGAAAUCUUACCCGAAGAGACAGCAGGAUGAAGGUCAAGCUGAAGACUUUACCAGACAAGCUGAGAAGUGGUGCAUGGCCGUCGCCAGCUCGUGCCGUGAGGUGUCCUGUUAAGUCAGGUAACGAGCGAGAUCCUUGCCUCUAGUUGCCACCAUUACUCUCAGGAGUAGUGGGGCGAAUUAGCGGGACUGCCGUAGUUAAUACGGAGGAAGGAGAGGGCCACGGCAGGUCAGUAUGCCCCGAA
rnacentral:rRNA from 1 species